ACAUUAAAAAUCAGGUUUAACUGUCUUCUGGGUGAAUGAUGUGACUACAGCGAGGUCUCUUUUCACCACACGGCAAUAACAUUAAAAAUCAGGUUUAACUAUCAAAACUGCCACCACAAUUUUGGAGGUCCCACGGAGAUAUCCAUCCUCUGUGUGCCAGUCUCAAGGUUGAUCCCUGAUCGGUGUGGUCCGGACCAACCCGAAGACGGUUACUUUGUCGAAUUACACAGUUGACUACUGGUGGGGAGAGAUCUGGACAAUCACGAGACUGACCCAGCGACUGGAUUCUGAGCUAAGUGGUACUAAGAUGCCCAUCCUGACAAUACAGCUCUGAACCAAGCAUGGUUUAUGAAGUUGAGGAACUUCAAGGUCCUCCACAGAGCCCUGAUCUCCACCCUGCUGAACUCCUUUGAGAGGAAUUGUCAUGUUGAAUACAGAAUAGAAAUGUCAUGCCUAUUCUAAGACCUCGCAGGACAGUGAGGCUAAGAGAACACCAAGGGACCACUAACCCAUCCAGAUGUUCUUUAAAUCCACUACAUUUUAUGAUAGAUGUAUUAUGAAGAUAUUAGGCUACAAAAACAAUUUGAUGUUUCCUUCAAAUCAUUUAUGUAUUUAAGAUCGGUGUUAUUUUAACCUGAGAUUCAGCACUGAGAUACCAUUGCACAUGCAGGAUGUGAGCAGUCACAAGGUGUAUGCUGUGAAUGCUAGGUAGUGUUAAAAUAUUCAUUAGUAACGGACAAGCGUUCAAAAUCAGGGCUUAGGGCUUCAGCUGCAACCAGCACCAAAUAAAAUGUGUCUUGUAAGUGUGAUUGUCAGGUUUCCACAACCCUCUGGCCAAAUUGUGUAUUAAAAUCACAACAAUUGCAGAUCCAAUAAAGCGUGAAGCCAAACUUC